rnacentral:lncRNA from 1 species
GUCAUGCUACCCAUGGGUGGGUUUAAUCUAGGAGGAUGAUAAGUUAAAUAAUGACUCAUGAUUUUGUCUCCCUCCAAAAUGGACUUAACUGACUGAUCCUACUUCCCUGUACUUCAACAUGAACUGCACUUUCUGACUCCCACCACUGGUUCUGACAGACAGAGGAUGGCAGAAGUAAAAGCUUGAAUUUCUGAGACUUAGCCCAGAAAGGCAAUGUGAACUCUCUGUUUUCUGUUGUUCACCACCAGCUCUGGGGAAAGUGAUGACCCACUGCCAUGGAGAGUCCCCUGUUGAGGAGAUGAUCCCCCAUGGCCACCCUGGGCACCAGAUGCCCUGUGUGGAAGCCAUCCUGAGAUGGUUUCCCAGCCUAGUUCAGCCUCUGCGCUUACAAGCCUUGUUGAUGUCACAUCUUCCACUUUAGACGUCACUGUGGGCUCAGUGCUUUUAACUGAACACCCAUCCACUGGAGAAAGAAAAAUUAAAAUAAAAAAGAAAAGAGAAAGAAAAUCCAAUGCCAAACAUCUUAAAGAGACAGUACGUUAGGACAAUCCCAUCAGACUUGCAGAGAGAGGACUUGUUCUAAAGGGAGUCCAAGUUACACUACAUCUCAUUGCAUGAGAAGAGGGAAACCUAUCUGUAUUCACCUCUCAAAAAAUGCAAAAUGGGGAGAAGAGAACAAAAUGUAUUUUGGUUGAUUCUUAAUAGCAAUGGAAAUAAAUAACAUGUGCCAUACAACUGACUAUCAAUGGUAAUAAAAAUGGUCACAGGAAGACUUAUUAUAUUCAACUGCCAAGCAGCAAAUCUUAACAAAACUCAUUUACACACCCUCUCUACUCAAGCUGGUCUGGCCCAUGGAGGUUAUUUUUUUCCAGAACUAAAGCAGGAUGCAUGGACAUUAAGAGUUUUCUCAAUGAUCCUUUCCAUUGUGACAAUCUUGGCUGAGAGUUACUGUGAUGCUGUCAUUGAUAACAAACACCAUCUGUCAAAUUUAUCUGUAGCUCUCACAGCUAACUUUUAAAUCACAGGAAUAGUGAACACAAGAAACCUCCCCAGUAUCAGAUCUGGGUCUAUUUUUGAACAGUGUAUCACCUGUGUUACAAACAUAGGUUAUCUUAGUAUGCAGCAGCCAUCACUGCCUCCAUGCCAUUUCUUGGUCUCUCAGAUGGACUGUCAUUUACGUAUGGCAUCUGAACAAUGCCAUGUCCUUUCACUUGUGUUUGUUUGAGGGCAUUCCCUGAUCAAUCACUGGCAUUUAUGUGGAAGUACAAUGUGUACGCACCUCUAGGAAAAAAUCCUUUCAGUGAAAUAUAGACCCGGUUGUUCUGCUCAGUGACUUUGAACAGUUAAUAUUACAUAUUUGCUGCAGUUUCAUCACCUAAAAUAGAGCUUUGUUGGGUAUAUGGGUAUAGUGAUGCACAUCUGUAAUCUCAGCACUUAGGAGGAUCAAGAAUUCACAACUAACCCCAGCUACAUAGCAAGUUCAAAGCCAGCACAGGCUCAAAACAAAACAGGCUAGCAUGAUAGCUCAGUCAGUAGAGUGUUUGCUUUGCAAACGCAAGUAUCUGAGUUGGAUUCUCAGAACUC